GAGACUUGGCGAGCACGACCCUCCCCGGGUACCCUCCGCACGUCCCCCCCGCCGGACAGGGCAGCUACUCGGCACCGACGCUGACAGGGAUGGUGCCUGGGAGUGAGUUUUCCGGGAGCCCCUACAGCCACCCUCAGUACCCCUCCUACAACGACUCCUGGAGGUUCCCCAACCCGGGGCUGCUCGGCUCCCCCUACUAUUACAGCGCCGCUGCCCGAGGAGCUGCCCCACCGGCAGCCGCCACUGCCUACGACCGUCACUGACCCUCGGAGCCAGGCAGACGCCAGCACUUAUGACACAUAUCACUGAGGGUGAGAGCCUCCCAGCCCCUUCCAAGACAGCCGGAGGGGCCCGACGAGAGCGUCCCCCAGCACCCUCCCCCCUCACUUGGAACUCUGCCCCCCCUUUUCCUGUCAGGGACUCUGGGGUUCUAUGGUACGGCUGCUGGACUUCUGGACACCUGUCCAUUUCUAAGAGUCAAUCGAUGAGCUUCUCCCAGCGGUGAUGGGGUCUCCACAAACCAACAGACUGUGCCGCCGGUCACUGCAGCCCCAGCCCCGCCUGCCAGUCCCCCGGCUGUCUGACCGUCUGCCCGUCUUCAGGCCCAGGCCUGGGAAGAAGAGCUUGCUUUGGUCAUUUCAACAGCACCUGUGUAAAUACCUUCUUGCUUCUCUCGUGGGCCCAAAGGUCCAACGGAGCAGACUGCCAGCCUUUAUGCAUUCAGCACCCCCAGCGCAUCACAGACCUGAGGGCAGAGCAUCCCCUCUGCCCCGGUGCCCCCGCAGUAGGGAGCUGUCCAUGGGACUGAGGAUGCCCAACUCCGGCCCCGGCCUCCUGCUCGUUGCUACUUCUUUAGCGUCUUGACUAGGUGUCUCACUAACCUGGUUGUGCUCCAAGCUCCCCCCCUCCCCCCCUCCCCGCUGAGACUUUUCCCCAAGACAAACAUUUGGGGAGAUACCCUGGCUUCCUGCCUCCACUUCCCUGGGCCCAAUGCAGUGCAAACAGCUCUUUUCUGUAUAUCAAAUGACUCAAAGAACCGCCAACCACUGUUCUAAAGUAAGAUGUCCCAGGUGCUGAUUGCAGUGUGGACUUGGAACAUUACGGCUGGAUGGGACCCAGGAGAUCAUGGUCCAAGGCGGGACCUGACGUCCUCCUGACCCGCCAGCCCCUGGAACCGCUGACCUGAACUGGGAUGUGCUUUCGGAGGCAUUCCCAGGCUCGAUCACUUUGGACACCCACCACGGACACUGCCCUCACCCUCCAGGACCCCGUGAGUGGAUUCUGUUCUGCUGUGUAGACAGUGGUUAACAAGAAGGACUUUGCCUGCACUGAGGACCACACGCACCUGCAGCAUCUCCAGAACUUCCUGAGCAGCUCUCUGAUCCUGGUGGAGCCUUGCAUGCCGCUGGGAAUGGAGGUGCCAGGUGGGGCAGAUGCCCAACUUCAAGCAGUGGGUGUCUGCCUGUUGACAUGAGGGGCCAUCAUGGUCAGAGCCAUGGCCAAGGGCUACAGGAGCUUGGAGAGGGACUUGUAGAACUCACUGUGGGCUGGAGUGGUGAGUAAAAGCCAGUUGGGAGGGUUUGGGGAGACAGAGGAAGGCCUCCUGAGAGAGGGACAGGACAGGCAGUGAGGAACUGGUGGGUGAAUUGGAAAUGGUUUUGAGGUGGGGUUGCCAGGAACCGCCAUAUCUUUGCCUAGGGCCUCAAUUCCUUGCAUAGUCUCUCUUGCCAACUCAGAACAGCCAGGUGGAAGUUCUGUCCAAAUCUGGGCUGAAUUAUAGCAAUGACAGUGGACUUUGCCAUUACAUGACACAGGGUCCCCGAUAUCUGCAUGACACCAGGUUGGCAGAGAGCUGGGGCAGAGAGAGCCCGCACUUGAGGUGAUUGGCCCUGGGAGGUCUUGUCCUGGCCGUACCUCUGCCUAGCUGUGGGACCUCUGACAAGACCCUUCACCUCUCUGAGCCUCGGUUGCCUUGGGACUGCAGGGUCAUCUGACAGCUCUCUCCUAACUUCUUCUCUCACAGGAAGUUGGGACAGGCCCUCCACUGCUGAGAAAGCAGACAGAGGUGGGCACCUACCGAGUCCCACUAAUAUUCAGACCACGUGGGAAAUAAGAACACCCAGAGGGGUGGAAAUCAAUCUUGAGGAAGACCUAGUCCAAAUCCCCUCAAGGGAAACUGAGGCCCAACUGGGGGAAGCCCGGGGCGUGCAGGGAGAGAGAGAGCAGACCUCCUUGGGCCACUACCAGGCGUUUUGGCCCCCCAAUAUCCCUGCAAGGUGGUGGGACAGAUAAACUGAGGCUCAGCAAAGUGCAGUCCCCAGGCAGUGACUUGGCCCCUGAACCCUGGCACAGGGUGAUCCUCCCAUCCCUGGGGAGGGCAUU